UGGGGAAUAUUGGACAAUGGGCGAAAGCCUGAUCCAGCCAUGCCGCGUGAGUGAUGACGGCCUUCGGGUUGUAAAGCUCUUUUGGGUGGGACGAUAAUGACGGUACCACCAGAAUAAGAUCCGGCUAACUUCGUGCCAGCAGCCGCGGUAAUACGAAGGGAUCUAGCGUUGUUCGGAUUUACUGGGCGUAAAGGGCGCGUAGGCGGUCUAGCAAGUAAGGUGUGAAAGCCCUGAGCUUAACUCGGGAACU
rnacentral:rRNA from 1 species